GAUGAACGCUGGCGGCGUGCCUAAUACAUGCAAGUCGAGCGAACGGACGAGAAGCUUGCUUUUCUGAUGUUAGCGGCGGACGGGUGAGUAACACGUGGAUAACCUACCUAUAAGACUGGGAUAACUUCGGGAAACCGGAGCUAAUACCGGAUAAUAUUUUGAACCGCAUGGUUCAAAAGUGAAAGACGGUCUUGCUGUCACUUAUAGAUGGAUCCGCGCUGCAUUAGCUAGUUGGUAAGGUAACGGCUUACCAAGGCAACGAUGCAUAGCCGACCUGAGAGGGGGAUCGGCCACACUGGAACUGAGACACGGUCCAGACUCCUACGGGAGGCAGCAGUAGGGAAUCUUCCGCAAUGGGCGAAAGCCUGACGGAGCAACGCCGCGUGAGUGAUGAAGGUCUUCGGAUCGUAAAACUCUGUUAUUAGGGAAGAACAUAUGUGUAAGUAACUGUGCACAUCUUGACGGUACCUAAUCAGAAAGCCACGGCUAACUACG
rnacentral:rRNA from 1 species